rnacentral:rRNA from 1 species
UACGUAGGGUGCGAGCGUUGUCCGGAAUUAUUGGGCGUAAAGAGCUUGUAGGCGGUUUGUCGCGUCUGCUGUGAAAAUCCGGGGCUCAACCCCGGACUUGCAGUGGGUACGGGCAGACUAGAGUGUGGUAGGGGAGACUGGAAUUCCUGGUGUAGCGGUGAAAUGCGCAGAUAUCAGGAGGAACACCGAUGGCGAAGGCAGGUCUCUGGGCCACUACUGACGCUGAGAAGCGAAAGCAUGGGGAGCGAACAG